UUGUUGAUACUGUGAAUGCGGUUGGGGUUGUGAGUGUGGAUGAGGUUGGGGUUGAGAUUGCAGUGUUUGAUGCUGCGGCUGAUACUGUAGAGGUUGCUGUUGAUUAUGAGGUUGCAAAUGUUGUUGGUGAAGGCUAUAUUGAUUAUGUUGAGGUUGUUGUUGCUCAGACUGAUACUGUAGAGGUUGCUGUUGAUUAUGAGGUUGCAAAUGUUGUUGGUGAAGGCUAUAUUGAUUAUGUUGAGGUUGUUGUUGCUCAGACUGGGGCUGAGACCGGUCCUGCUGGGUCGGUUGAUGAUGCUGUUGUUCAGAUUCAUAAUGUGUAUGUCGAGAUGAGGGUGGG
rnacentral:lncRNA from 1 species